UUCCCUGUAGUGAGCUUGCUUCUCUCCACCCACCAAGAAUUCCUUAACUUGAGGGUGGACAAUUUAAAGCCAGAUCCUACAGCCUCACCUGAAAAGUGUUCUGCGUAUUCUUUGGACUGAAAGGCCAGAUCACCUGUGUGAGACGGUGGGAAACACAUGGAAAUUGUAUUAGGACUUCAGGAAAGUACACAGCUGCAGCGUAUAGAAGCCAGCGUCCAGACUGACAGGCAAAUGAACCCGCUCAUGGACGGGGCCUCUGGGUGUCGGCUCCGGCCUUUUGGUUGUUGGACAACUGUAGUCAAAACUGAGAUGGAACAGGGGACAGGAAAAAACACACUUUUACUCUCCGCAACUGUUGCUUUCACACGACCUUUGAGAAUGUUACUGGGAUAACUGUCUAAACCAAAUUCCAUGCAUCCAUCCAUGAUACUGGUUAUUAAGGUGACAUUAUGAAAGGAUAACUCCAAAACUAAUGCAUACCAGAGUAGCUGUGAUCAUCAAAGUGAGCUGGAGAGAUUCUACAAAACCCGUUGGGACAAAUAGCAGAUGAAUCCACCAACUUAUUCUUCUCUGUUACCCUUAAUGGUCACACAGAAAGCAUGUACUCAACUAUAAAGGCGUUUGAACUGGUCGAACAGGACGACAGAGCAGUGAACAUGAGAUCAUUUCAGCCGAGUAGCAAACUGGCACCCAGCCUUUUCACCCCUUCGGUUCGGGAGGCAAACGUGUGCAGUCCUCAUUUCUCAAGUCAGCUCAGCCUGGAAGGAUUCCGGGUCUCUCCCACCUUGUACCACUCUGCUGCCCGUUGAUGGCAAGGAUUGGUUCAACUUCUGCACAGUGCUUUGUGUCUGGAAUACGGAGAACGAAGAGAAUGACGACCAGCCCUCCUUUGCUGAGAAAUAGCAGGAGCCUUGAAGAAACAGCAAAAAGCCAAACAACACUAAACACAGAGCUUCUCAGUACUUGCAAGAGUGCUGAAAAAUAAUGAUAAUGAUGAGAUGCGGCUGCUCGAAAACAAAAAACAAACAAAAACUCAAACCAAAACAAACCAAAAGCAGCAAACUUUGGCUUGUCUAACUCCUGAGACAUCGGGCUUUGUAGAGCAGCUCUGAAGGCAACACCACCAAAUGAGCCUUCUUUGUUUUUAUUUCUUUGCUUUUUUAUUACUAUUUCAAUAACUAUGGCCUAAGAGCAGUUGGUGAACCCGCACUUUCAUAUCAGGGGAACAUUUAAAGUGGAUAUGACAAGAGAAGAAAAUGACCAUAGGAGAAAAUCAUCUCAGGUAAAAAAGAGAAGCACUAGUGUAAAGUGUAAUUAAUGUACAAUAUUUUCGAGAGAAAAUUACUCUGAGCUAGCUAUUGGCAUUUUUCAUUGAUGGGGUUUCUUUCAAGAGUUUUCAGCAUGAAUUGCCUUUGUGAACCUUUUUGUUUGGUUUGUGAUCAAUGCCCAGUUACCAUCAUGCUGAGUGCAUAUGUGUUUACUGAAUCGUACAACACAGGUACAAGAUGGUUGGAUAGGACGCUAUUUAACAAGAAGAAAAAUAGUUUGUCAGUGGUUAUACCAUAUAAAAGGAAGUACAAUCUGGGAGAAAAGUAUAAACUCAUGGUUUUCUUUUCAAUCAUUUUCAUAUAUCUAGUAAGACAAUAAAGCCAAAGCAAUAAAAGCUACAACCAGUGUUUCCUCUUUUUUUAUGAAGUAUAUAAUAUAUGAUGAAAUACUUUCACUACAAUUGA